AUGCUUCGUGCAUCUCCGGCCUUCCCCGCGUCCGCUAAGGCCCGACGCCCCUGCACCGUCCUUGGCCCUCGCGCCAUGGCCGGCCGCGCCUCGCGUGCUUCUGGCUCUCCACGCCGGCGAGCUCCAUCCCCCUGUAUCUGCUCCUACCGACAAGCACAACAGCGAGGACCGUUCGGGGCUUGCUACUUUGGCAUCUGGACAGUGCUUCGUGCAUCCCCGUCCUUCCUUGCAUCCGUCCCAGCACCAUGCUGCCUCAUCCAGCUUCGCUCCACUGCUCCCGCAGCCACACGCUCUCGUUGCUGGGUCGCCGCUCCGCCCCGUCGACUCGCGACCGGCCGCCUCCUCCGCAUCCGCGCGCUUGCCUGUCCGGCUCCGGGUCGCACCCGUCGGCUCCGCCCGCAGGCCGGCUUCCCUUCCUCGUGCGCAACCCGGCCGGCCGGCUUGGCCUCGGCAGUAUCCGCGCUGGUCCCGCUCCGGCCUCUGCUGAGCCCCUGCGAUCGGGCACCCCGCUCCUCGCCGGCUCGCUGCGGCUGGCUCCGCCUCCGUCCGCGUCCGGCCUCGCACGGUACCGGCCGCUUCCCGUCGCCCCCGCCUUCGCGUGCCGGCCCCGGGCCAGCUUCUCGUCGCCGCCUCGGGACCCCAAUCCGCCGUGCUGCUUCCGCGCCCACACCGGCUCCGGCUUCACCCCGCUCCGGCCGCUCCUCUACCGGGACCGCGCGCGCUGGCGGCGCCGUUCCGGCCUCCCUCCCGGCGCCCCUUCCUGGACGUGUCCGACCUUGUUCCGCACGCGCGCCGGCUCCACGCGUCCGCCCCUGGACGGCUUCCCCGCCGUCCCGACCGGCCUCUGCUGCCUCUCCCCUGGCCGGCCCCGUCCGGUGUCCCGCGACCCGGCUGCGCCCCGCGCUGGCCGGCUCCCCGCACUGGCCGGCUCGCGCCCGCUUCUCAGCCCGCGAGCACCUCCUCCGCAUCUGCCCGCGCCGGCCGGCUCGCCGCCCCUCCGCCGCCGGCUCCGCCCCAUGCGCCCGCGCCGCUGUGCCGCUCACCUCCUGUGUGACCCAGCGCCGGCUCCUCGCGUCGACCGGGCCGCCCGGCGCCCCGCCUCGCCUCCGCCGGGCCACCUUCGCCCUGGCCUUCCCCGCGCCCCGGACCACGCCUUUGUCCGGCUCGUUGUGUCGCGCCAAGUCCGACUCCCGUGCGCCUGCAACGACCAGCGCUCUGAAGAAAAGAAACAUAAGAAAGAAAGCUGCAGCCGACUGGGUCAACGUAGUGCGCCGGCUGGGCAAGACGGCUAAAAAGAAUGAUCCCGGCCAGAUAAAGAACCCGGCUGGUCAAGCCGGAUGUGAAAAAAAAGAGAGAGAAAAGAGAAAAGAGAGAGGCCGGUUGGUUCAGCACAGUGCGCCGCCUGAAGCAAAGAGAAAAGAAGUGGCCGGGUGCCUAGCCGGCUGA
rnacentral:rRNA from 1 species